UUCAGCUUGCCUACCCACAAGAACAGGGUGGUCACUACCUGCGGGGACCUUCCGGUCUGGCAUUUUAGAUGGUUCUGAUAAAAAUGGCACUUACCCUGGCCUCGGAUGAUUCUCCGUGGUAUAUGCUCGCCUAGCAUGCCAGCAAGGCCCUGGGUUCCAGCCCCCAACACCGGGGAUGGGGGUGGGGGGUGUAGAAGGAAGGAAGAUCUCUGCUGAGUCUUGAAAUCUUGAAUCUAGCGCCUCAGAAGCUCCAGGGAGCCCUCCUCUCUUCCUCGCUCCGUCUCAUCACUUAAGAACACAUUCAUUCUUCCUUUCCUCGGCAGUGGGCUUGGGACUCCCAGUGGGGUGGGCUUUGACCUUGUUUUUGCCAAAUACCCGCUAACUCCCCUGAGACACCAUUUGUCUGUGUCCUAGCAGGGCCAAACAUCCUUGACCUUCAACGGCUCCUAAACCCAGUGGCCUGCUUGUGAGAACUCUCCCCUCCUCGUAUCCUUGCCUGCCUCCUGUCCCAUCACCUCAACCUCCGGGGUCUGUCUCCCACCUCCUUCCAGGCUCCUCCUCUGUCCUGUGACCCUCAGUCAAGGUUCCUGGGUGCUAGCCUAGGUUCCCAUCUUCCUUUGGAAUCCUUUGACUUCAUCUACGCAUGUGUAUGCAGGUGUGCUCACGUGUACGUGUGCACACAUGCAGGUCAGAGGUCAGUGGUGGGUGGCUCCUGACUCUCCGCCUUACUUUUAGCUUUUGAGAUAAGAUCAUGCACUGAUCCCGCAGCUUACCAUUUUAGCUAUAAUGAUUAACCAAGAGCCCCUGGAGCCCCCGUGCUUCUGUGCCCCCGGGUUACAGAUGUGUGCUGCUGUUGCACAGCUUUUACGUGGAUGCUGGGCAUCUGAACUCAGGGACACAUCACCUGCCGAGUCCAGGGUCUCAUCUUGCUCUACCACACCUUUCAGUACCUUCGUGUCUGUAGCAUCCACCUGUCCCUGUGAACUAACUAGAUCCUUCUCAGAGGAAGGCCCUACUGUAGCCUGAGGCCAGGAGCACAGAGUCACGAGUCGGAGGUGUCGGGCUCACCUGUAAAGAGCAAGGCAGCACUGUGGUGAGGGGACCCCACAGGGUCAGCCUUGGCUGCUAGAAGUGCUUCUUCCCGUUCUCCAUCAAAGUUGACAUCUCUGUCCACCCAGCUACUCCAUGGAGGCAGACUCCGUCCCUGGCUCCCCACCACCGCGCUGCUGCCAUGGGUAUCCGUCAUGUCCCACGUGCUACACAGAAACUCAUCAACCUCCUAACCACUCCUGCUAUCCCAAGUGUACAGAUCAGCAAACCCGCUCCAAAGGAUUAAGCAGUGUGUCCGGUGUUACAGGUGGAGCUCUCUCUGGCAGCUUCUCCCUCCCUCCUAAUGCUGGAGAUGGGAGUUGGCUUGUCACAUGCCGGGCAGCAGACGGCCUCACCAGUGACACACUUCCUCCAACAACGUCACACCUACUCUAACGAGGCCACACCUCCAAACAGUGCCACACCCUUUGGACCAAGUAUUCAACACAUGCGGCUCUGGGGGCCAUUCCUGUUCAAACCACCACAUCCUGUGAGGCCAGAUUCCAGCCUGCCACCAGCACAGCACAGGCCUAACUGCUGUCUACAUUUCCCAGGAACUGACACAGGUCAAGUACAAAGUAGAUGCUGACCGGAAAUCUGAAUAAGAGGCAUGCUGACUCACAUCUUGGCCAGGCAGAAAGGCAAAGAAAAUAAGCCCAACGAAGUUGGUAGAUUUUGUCUAUUGUGCUCAUUGCUAAUUUCCCUGUGGUUUUGUGGGUCCUUGAACAUAGUGAGUACACAGUGUUUGUUAAGGCGAUGAAUGAGUGAAUAGAGUGAAUGGACACUGGCACACACGAGAUAUGAGGACACUUCUGUCAUUGUACAAGAAUUUAUUUAUUUAACCUGGAACCUUGGGUGUGAUGAACGAGUACUUCAGCAUUGGGCUACAUUUGAAGUCCUUACUUUUAAAGAUUAUUAUUAUUAUUAUUAUUAUUAUUUGAGUCGGGCUCUCAUUAUGUAGCCUUGGCUGGCCUGGAACUUGUUAUGUAAACCAGGCUAGCCUCAAUCUUACAAAUAUCCACUUGCCCAAAAGCAUAUGCCAUCAUACCUGGCCAAGAUUUAUUAUUUUUUUUAAAUUUUUUUUCUUGAAAUUAUUAUUUUAAUAUGUGUGUAUAUCUAUCUGUUCAUGCACGUGAGUGCAGUUGCCUAUGGAGACCAGAGGUAUUGAAUCCUCUAGAGCUGCAGUUACAGGCAGUUGUGAGCUGCCCGACGUGGGUGCUGGGAACCAAACUCAGAGCCUCUGCAAGAGUAGCAUGCUCUCUUAACUGCUAACCUGUCUCUCUAGUCCCCCUUUUUAAAUUUUUUAAAUAAUACCUAUUUUACAUAUGUUUCAGUCACAUGUAUGAAUGUGCACCAUGUGUGUGCCUGGUGCCCACGGAGGUCAGCAGACAGCAUCAGACCCCUUGGAACUGGAGUUACAUACAGAUGGUUGUAGCCACCAUAUGGAUACUGGAAACUGAACCUGGGUCCUCUGCAAGAGCAGCCAGUGCUCUUACCUGCUGAGCCAGCUCUCCAGCCUCUCCUUUUAAUUUUUUAUUUGGAGCUAGAGAACUGCUCAUUUGCUGAGGUGGACUCUGAACUUUCUAUCCUUCUCCUGUAGCCUCCCAAGUAGCUGUAUUUAAAGGUGUGUGCCAGAGCCAGCAAGGUGGCUCAGGGAGAGACAGUCGCUGCCAUCUCAGAUCCCCCUGGAACCCAUGGUGGAGGGACAGAGUCCACUAUUGCAGGUGGUCCUCUGGCCUCCACUCGCCCUAGGGUACACGCACACUCAUCCAUCCGACAACGAAUCCCUUAGAGGUGUCGGCCACCACGCUCGGCUUGUUCGUUGACCUUCUGCUGCUUUUUGUGUUAUUUGCUUGUGGUGCUCAGGAUUGAUCCAUGCCCCUGAAUAGGCGAGGCAAACACUGUAUCAUCUCGCCAGAUCUUUAUGACUUCCAUUCAACACCUCCAGGAUCUUGAAAUCUACCGAAUAACUAUGAGCACAGCACCUGCCUCAGCUUGCCUGUCUGGGCACAUGUGAACAGCCGUGGGGCCAGAGCAUCCAUCUGCUAGUGUCUAAGGAAGCUCUGCUCCGUGCUCAUCAUGCUUCCGCGGUGAGUGAAGUGGACAUCAGGUCUGCCUUGUGGAGUGAGCGCCUGCCUUUUCUGAACCCCAGUGUCUAAGGCUCUAAAACAACUCUGACACCUUCUGGUUUGGGCACAGAGACAGGACUCACUGAGAAAAUUAUCAUGAAAGUCACUUGCAACAGGGGAUCUCAGUUCAAGCAGCCAUGAAAGAGCCUGGGACUCUGGUGUGUCCCCUUCCUGUUCCUCCAUCAUUUCAGCCUGUUUCCAGGUUUAUCCCAUCAGACCUUGGAAUUUGGUUUUAUGUCCCUCUCCUCAUCACAUUUAUUGCCUCAUCAAACUGUUAUGAACCUGAAUGUGACUAUAAUAUUAUUAGUAAUAGUGAUGAUCUUUCUAUGCCAACAUAAACAUUAAUAAAGAAUAUUUACUAAUUAAAAUAGUAA